rnacentral:rRNA from 1 species
UAGGGAAUAUUGGUCAAUGGAGGCAACUCUGAACCAGCCAUGCCGCGUGUAGGAAGAAGGCGUUCUGCGUUGUAAACUACUUUUGAUUGGGAACAAAUGACUCUUGCGAGAGUAGCUGAGUGUACCAAUAGAAUAAGCCACGGCUAACUACGUGCCAGCAGCCGCGGUAAUACGUAGGUGGCAAGCGUUGUCCGGAUUUAUUGGGUUUAAAGGGUGCGUAGGCGGCUUAAUAAGUCGGUGGUGAAAGCCGAUCGCUUAACGAUCGAACUGCCAUUGAUACUGCUAGGCUUGAGUAUAGAUGAGGUAGGCGGAAUUGACAGUGUAGCGGUGAAAUGCAUAGAUAUUGUCAAGAACACCAAUUGCGAAGGCAGCUUACUAAGUUAUAACUGACGCUGAGGCACGAAAGUGCGGGGAUCAAACAG